rnacentral:lncRNA from 1 species
CCAGACUGCCACUCUCAGCCCCCGCAGGGCCCCUUUUGGCCACUUUGACCAGACCGUGGGAGUCCACAGUCGGGGCGCAGCACGGUGGCGUCAGCAGCCUUCCGAUCAAUGAGGCCAUGAGAGGACCGACGUGCCAGACGUGUCAGACCGCCGCCUUUGUUUUAAAAAACUGUUUGGCAAUGACACAGCACAAUCUUUGACCACAUCCACCCUUGGCAGCUCCCGCACCGACCCUUGCCAAGGCUCCCAGUAUGUCUGUUGAGUUAGAAAAGAAAAGAGCUGGGAGAAAAGGGCUCGUGGAGACUGGAGUAGGGCUCCCAAGGAGCGAGUGCAGAGGUGAUUGCCCCCUCGUGCAGCAAUCACCCCAGGCACCUUUCGCAUACUGGUGUCUAGGUGACUGUCCCACACUUGCAGUGGGGGAAGCAUCUCCUUGGCUCGCCUCCAUCUUUUCAAAUGACAAGUUGAAGAAAGCUCGGAGGCCUCGCAGAAAAGCACAGCUCUUCCAAGGUAUUAGGCCACAUGCAAGUGACCCCAAAGCUAUUGAUUUUUGUAUGCUAGACUUUUAGUCUGCCACUUGCGCAAAUUCUGGUCUUAGUCCUGGUAGUUUUUCAGUAGGUUUUUCUAGUUAGACAAUCAUCUGCAAAUAAUGAUCAAUUUGAGUCCACCUUCCCGCCCCCACCCCCACCACUUACUCUCCCAAGUGAUACAAGAAAUCAUUGGGUUGGUGAUGCUGUUUAGCUUUAGUGGAAGCCCCUAGCCCCCUGGGGAAGCGGGUUUCCUUAGGCAGCAGUGUUCCACACGAUUGUGCUUUCUUGCAGGGUACUUUCAGGGGAGGCGGCAGCUGAUGCCCACCUCCCAGAGUGAGGCCCCCUCCUCGCAGACAGCAGCCAUGCCUUAAGAAGCAGUGCUACCUUAUGUGCCUGCCCAGGCCAAUUCUGCCUCAAUCUCCAGCCCUGGAUACAUUCCCAAGAGUGGGCCCCGGAGAGCUUGAUUCCCUCUGUGAAGGAAUCUUUGCACCUGCUAGGAGGGAAAUUACUUUCCUGGAGUAGCAAGAGAGCUGGAGUUGCCCUUUUGCUGUAAGGGUCGCGCUCACUAUCAUUGGCAGUUGGCAGCUGGCAGCAUACCCUCUCCUCUCCUUCCCCACGUGAGGAAAAAGAGAACUUCCCCCUUUCAUUUCUGGUUCCCUCUCACCUCCGACUGAAAGUCCUUAGUCAGGCUCUCCGUGCCUCACCUCCUCCAUGGGCCAGAUGGGGCCAUCAGUACUCUCCUCCUGGUACCUCAAGGUCUCCCGGAUCCAAAGCACCGCCUCAGUAUUAUUUGUUGGUCUUCUUUGUGCCUUUCUUGACCUGGAGUUGGGAGGCAGGAGGGCUGCUGUUGGCCUAGUUUGUUUCUGGGAAUAUGGAUUUCUGGCAUAGGAAGGGGGCAGUGCGUCAUGGACAGAUGGUCAUUUAGCCUCUGAGGGAAGAUACACGUGAGACCAGGCUACUCUCUGCUCCAAAAAGUCCUGCUCGGUUGUCUUCGGGCAACUUUCAUCCUCAGAGUGCUUCCCUUCCAUGAAGCCAAAACCAGCCCCAGCCAUGUCCACCCCAGGUCUCUACCUUCAUCAAGGAAGAUAGGAAGUGAAACAUUACUUUUUACAUUAGGUCAGGAUCAAGAAAUAAAAGUGACCAAAAAAAAAAAAAAGAGGUAAGAAUCAGGGUAGAGAAGCACUAUGUUAGACCUAUUUCAUGUAUAUUCUGCUGGACAGAAUUGUCUCUAAAAUGUCUGUUACACACACACACACACACACACACACAAAUUCUGUCAACAUUCCCCCCCACCCCCCACCCCAAAUCAAAUGUCAACAUGUACAGGAGUCUUGUGUUGAAGGAAGCAGGGCUUAGAUGUUAUACUUUAGAUACUGUGAACCCAGAAAGGAGCUGUGACAGGCUUAUUUCUUUUUCUUUCUUAUCUUUUUUUUUUUUUUGCUUUUUAGGGCUGCACCCGCAGCAUAUGGAAGUUCCCAGGCUGAGAGUCAAAUCAGAGCUACAGCUCCCAGCCUACACCACAGCCACAGCCAUCUGAGCCAAGUCUGCAACCUACACCACAGCUCACGGCAACACUGGAUCCUUAACCCACUGAGUGUGGCCAGGGAUUGAACCCAUGUCCUCAUGGAUACUAGUCGGAUUCAUUUCCCCUGAGCCACGAUGGGAACUCCCAAGGCUUAUUUCUUGAAUGGAUGAAUUUUUCCUCAUGUAUUCAUGUUGGCAAUCAGAUUGUCAGUGAGCUCUAGGAAGAAACAUUAUCUAUGAGUCAAGGGCAUUUAACUAAACUGUUAACACCAUGCUGGUUCUUGACUUGUGGUUCCUGAUUUGAGAGAGGAGGCCCUUGAGACCUUAAUAGAAAAUUCCAUCUAAAAACUACUUCCUUCCAAAGGAUGUGCAUUCAUUUGAGAAGGACACAAUCUGUUUUUGUUUCUAUUGUUGGAAACUCUGUGAGGAUGAAUCAGAAUCAAAGUGGUGCUCUCAGUUCUAAGACUUUGGAACAGCAGGUGCAAUCACUGUAAACAAAAAGGAUCAUGUGACUGUACUAUGCCUAGAGUGUAAUGUACCAUUUUGACCUAAUGCAGAAAGGAAGGUUCUGGAAAAGCACAUUGCACAUCAUCAUGUCAAAUGUGAUGUGAAGGCCCAGGUCUGAAUGUCACAGGGUAAGGGCCUGCACUUAGAGAAAAGCACAGGGUAAAGGAAAACACUUUGGGAUUCUUUUUUUAAAAAAAUGUAUAUAGCUAAGUAGACGUAAAGCAAAAACAGAAGCCAACCUGGAAACAGUCAAGAAUGGUUCUUCCAGGUUUCAACCAUCCAUUGGCGUGUAGAGCCACCUCUGUGUUCUCGGAGAAGGAGUCAUGUUGCCCUCUGAGGAGGAGCAAGUUCCAGGAUACUUUUUUUUGUGCCAUUUAUUUAUAGUCUUCUUUUUGAAGUGAUGCCAGAGAGGAGGAGUGUUUCUUAUUCUGAAACGCAGCGAGGGAACAUUAGAGGGUGGGGAGUGGUGGGGGUGACCGAUGGGAAAGUCUUCUGGGGGGAACGUUCUCACAAGGGCCAGACUUUUGUCUCCGAGCACCAAGCUGGAAGUUCUUACCGUCCAGGGACAUGCAGCCUUGAGAUGGUCCCAGACCUUCCCAUUUGUCCUCUUAGAACAUCUCCUCGCUCAAAACAGAGGGAACGUGAAGUGGGAUGAGGAGGGAUGGGCAGGGUUGGGAAAUGCUUUCGUUUGGUUCAUUACCCAGGAAACAAGCAGGACAAAACUAUUUCAGAUGGAAGCAUCGGUGAAGCUAGCCCAGGGUCCUUCUCCAGCAAUGCCUAUUGCCUACACCGCAUCGGGACAGGAAGAUGGAAGUUUUCUUCCCGAAAACUGUAACUGUGAGUCUUCAAUGGGAGCAGUAAGCCCGAGUUUUCAAAGGCGAAGAGUCUGUGAGGCAGCACAUGAGAAUGCAUUUUGUGCGAAAGCCCUUUACUUCUCAUCCCUCCUCCUUUAAAAAGUUCGUUGAAACACAGGAACGAUGGAUUCCACAGAAAGGGCUCUAUCUUAUUUACUCUUGAGUCCCCUGCAGCCCAUGGCUUAGCACCUCAUACAUGGGAAGCACAUUACUACUGGAUGGAGAGAGGGAUAGACAAUGGAUGGUUGGUGGACAAAGAAUGGUACCCAGAGGAAAUCUGAAUGGACCAAAUGGGAGGCCUCCCUUCAUUUGUCAAAUUAGUACUUGCUGUGUGCCUGGCAUUGCUCUUGGUGCUGGGGAGCCAAAGUCCCCCUGACCAUUGACCCUGGAGAUCAUUUAUGCUGUAAUGGCAUAAGCAGACACAUUUAUUUCCCCUUUGGGCUUAAUUACCUUCCUACCCUGGUAUCCAACCACAGGCAGACCUGAUGGUCCUUCAAGUGCUCGUUUCAAGUCUUUUCAGUUUCCUGGGGAUAUGCCAUCCACCAGCCAACCGUCAUCAAUCCACUGUUGUUGUUUUUUUCCCCUCAGAGGAUCCUUGAUUAAUCAGGUCAAAUUCAUAAGGUCAUGUACUUAAUCAGCUUUAAAUUACAGUGAAGAGAGAGACAUUAAUUACCUUCAAGGGCGUUUCCUGUGUUGCCUUUAAUAGAGGCAGCAUAAAUAAUGAUCAUCAACCUAGCGAACCAAGCCUCAGGCCAUGCAGAGUCCCAGAUCACCAAAACAGGGUACCAGCUCCAUCGUUCAGCUGUUCUUGCUGAGACAAGAAACUCAACACUUCAGAAGCAUUUCCAGUUUUAAAGUCCCAAGAAAAAGAGAUUUCCGAUUGGGAAUAAAUCGAUAUGAUCGUUAAGUGAACCAGAAUACCCCCCUCUCUAAGAUUUCCAGGUGAUCAAGGAUACCUCCAAUUUCUGCAUAUUCUUGCCUUUUCUCCACUGUUGGACUGCAGCUCCACCCUACACAUCCCAAGGAAACAUUUGGCCGAGGAUCAUAAGGAAAUCCGGCAUUUCUCGACACAGCCCGGAAAGGGGCUUUCCGAGAUCCAGCAGACAGCUCUCCAUUCUAGAAAUGUUGUUUAGGCUUCCUAUGUGACACGUUGGCUUUGGGUAUCUGAUGCAGCACCUGCGCUAAUAUCCCUGAUCACUUGCUUUGGUUAUGUGAUUCUUUACACAAGAGCCCUUCAUCUGCUCGCGUACGAGCUCUGUUCCAUGGAGUUCUGGUGCUCUUGACAUGCAUCUCCUCCCAGCCCCACGCACCCCCACCUGCUCCCAGCCCCUCGUACUCUCCCUGGUUCUGCUUUGGCUUCACACAAAAGUCGGGGCCGGGACAGAGGGUAAAUAGCAGGUGUUAGGGUAUAGGAGUGGAGGGCGGUUUCUUUUGGGGGAACACUGGUCCUCAGUGCAGUGUUGCUACUUCCUGAUCCAUCAAAAACCAGAGUGAUGUUUAAAUGAGCUACCAAUUUGAAAUUUUCAUGCCUGUCUUCCUCAUCGCUGGUAUAGUAUUGAUGGCAUGUUUUUGGGUCAGACACUUGUACGAUUCACAGAACUGUCAGAAAGAUGACCCAUCUCUGCUCCUGUGUUUGAGUGCACAUCCGCGUGCACAUGGCACUCUCCUACCCACCCCAGCAUCAGCAUUCCUGCAGAGUGAGGGGACCUGUAGCCAGCUCAUUCUUUCGGAGAAGCAUAAGCUCUGGCGAAAACAAGCUGCCCCUUGGUGGGGAUCCAGUGAUUCCGCCUACCUCCAGCUCCAAGGCUGCUUCGCGCUUCAAUCUCUGGCUUGUAAGCAUGGUGUCCAUAUUUCCUAAUGCCAUCAAUGAGCCACGUGGGUGGCAAAGGGUUUUCAAGCUGCCAUUACACUUCUUCCUCCUGCUUAGUAAGAGAGGAAGACUGGGAAAUGGAAUUUGGAUGCCAAAAUGUUGACAUCUGGGACAUAUCAGUGUAACAGAAGGACGGAUGUCUACAAAGUUCUGGACAUCUGGUCCAUGCGGCCACCGUACCUUCAAGGCAGAGAGUUUUGGCAAAGGAACAAGCUUUGUCGACUUGUUCAAACCACUACCUACCAUUCCACAGACCCCUCCUGUCAUCUGUACAAUGGGGACAGUAAAUCCUACUCAGUAGGGAAUUAUUAAAUUAGCUAAUAAUAUGCUGCUCAGAAAGCAGCAUCGUCCCUGGCAAAUAGCACUCCAUUUGUGGACACUAUUAUUCUGAACUUGGGAGGGUGGUAAAGGAAGGAAUAGAGUAGGCCAAACUUCAGCCUGGUGGUGCUGGUGGACCCUGGGUUCAGAUGGCAGCCCUUGGCAGUUGUAUGUUUCCCUUGCUGUGUGGCAAUCCCUAACCAUUCCAAAGGAAGGGGCUCUGGAAUAAUGGGUCCCUAGUAAUGUGUCAUAGUCUGGGGUUGGGGGGGGAUUAACAAGUUUACCAAAUGUUUGGCAAUAAAACUGACUUAUG